UUCAGGUUCUCAAAGCGGAUGCUGCUCACGCGGCCACUCUCCAUGGCCCCAGGCAACUCGGCUUCCAGCGCCUCCAGCACCUCCAGCAAUUAAGAUAAGAGUGAACAGAUGCUGGCCAAUGAAAUGUGAGGAAAGAUCAUCUGGGAGUUCUUAAGAUGAAGACCUCUGGAAGUGAUGCCUGGAGCUAUGGCAGCCAUCUUGUCACCAUGAGCCCGGGGGAACAAAUAUGGAAGAACCGGAAGGUUGUGAAGACCACAUUGAGAUCCGGCUUCCCCUAACUUCUGGGAGUCCCUUUGUGCCCCAAUUCCUUCCUUCGCACUUUCCUGUUUCUUCCUCUACCUCUCCCUGUCUCCUUGAGUCUCUACCCCUCCCCCUCUCUCCCCCUCUCUCUUUCUCAUUCUCUUCCCAUGUCUCUGCCCCUCUCCCUCUCUCCCGCUUUCCCCAUUGUGUUCCCCUGAUUUCUCCUAAUCUCUCUCCCCAUCUCUCUCCCACUCUUUCCCUUGAUUUCUCUGCCCUCUUUCUCUCCACUUCUCUCCCCCUCCUUUGUUCCAUUUCCCCAAUCUCCCCCUCUAUCAGUUUCCCCAAUGUCUCCCCAGCCCCCCUUCACUCCCUCUCUUCAUAGUUGUCUGCCUCUCUCUGACCCUGUCACCCUCUCUCUGUCUCCCCACCUCUCUCC